UACGAAGGGGGCUAGCGUUGCUCGGAAUCACUGGGCGUAAAGCGCACGUAGGCGGAUCUUUAAGUCAGGGGUGAAAUCCCGGGGCUCAACCCCCGGAACUGCCUUUGAUACUGGGUAUCUCGAGUCCGAGAGAGGUGAGUGGAAUUCCGAGUGUAGAGGUGAAAUUCGUAGAUAUUCGGAGGAACACCAGUGGCGAAGGCGGCUCACUGGCUCGGGUACUGACGCUGAGGUGCGAAAGCGUGGGGAGCAAACAGG
rnacentral:rRNA from 1 species